AGCAGCCGCGGUAAUUCCAGCUCCAAUAGCGUAUAUUAAAGUUGUUGCAGUUAAAAAGCUCGUAGUUGAAUUUCGGGAUCAGUUGAUCGGUCGUGCCUCGGUACGUACUGGUCAAAUUGAUUCCUACCUUCUGACGAACCACGAUGUCAUUAAUUUGAUGUCGCGGGAAAUCAGGACUGUUACUUUGAAAAAAUUAGAGUGUUUAAAGCAGGCUCGCGCUUGAAUACAUUAGCAUGGAAUAAUGAAAUAGGACGUUUGAUUCUAUUUUGUUGGUUUCUAGGAUCGACGUAAUGAUUAAUAGGGAUAGUUGGGGGCAUUAGUAUUCAAUUGUCAGAGGUGAAAUUCUUGGAUUUAUUGAAGACUAACUACUGCGAAAGCAUUUGCCAAGGAUGUUUUCAUUAAUCAAGAACGAAAGUUAGGGGAUCGAAGACGAUCAGAUACCGUCGUAGUCUUAACCAUAAACUAUGCCGACUAGGGAUCGGAUGAUGUUAAUUUUUAAUGACUC
rnacentral:rRNA from 1 species